GACGAACGCUGGCGGCGUGCUUAACACAUGCAAGUCGAACGGAAAGGCCUUUUCGGAGGUACUCGAGUGGCGCACGGGUGAGUAACACGUGGGUGAUCUGCCCUGCACUCUGGGAUAAGCCUGGGAAACUGGGUCUAAUACCGGAUAGGACCGCACUUUAGUGUGUGUGGUGGAAAGUUUUUUCGGUGUAGGAUGAGCCCGCGGCCUAUCAGCUUGUUGGUGUGGUAAUGGCCUACCAAGGCGGCGACGGGUAGCCGGACUGAGAGGUUGGUCGGCCACAUUGGGACUGAGAUACGGCCCAGACUCCUACGGGAGGCAGCAGUGGGGAAUAUUGCACAAUGGGCGCAAGCCUGAUGCAGCGACGCCGCGUGGGGGAUGACGGCCUUCGGGUUGUAAACUCCUUUCGCCAGGGACGAAGCGUUUUGUGACGGUACCUGGAGAAGAAGCACCGGCUAACUACGUG
rnacentral:rRNA from 1 species